ACUCUUAAGAUUAUCUGGAGUGGCUUUUUCCCACCCCUGGUAACUUGUGGAGUGCCCUCAUUGGUGAAGUGACAGUACUGUGAUACUGUGACAGUUCAAUACUCUGAAACUAUGUAAAUAAACUAUUAAAAAAAGACUUCCUGCCAAUCAAUAAAUCUUGACAUAAAUUCCUUGCAAAACAUAUAUUUAUAUCUUUCCAGAGUUGACAUUAGGCAAAUAUUUAGACACAUGAAGAAUAUGUAUUCAUUACUCCCUUUGACUUAUUUACAUAGUUAUCGCAUUUACAUUUCUGCUUUUCUUUAUAUGUAGGUUUAGCAAACCAAUAUUUCACUGAAAGAGAGCACGGUUUAAACCCCAGAAAUGAGUUCAGUCCUGGUUACAUAUUGUGUAUUGCUAUGGAUUACAUAUGCAGAAUCACAGACAUUAAGUCUGACACCUUCAAAUAAUGCAGUUAAUCUGGGAGAGAGGGCAACUUUCUCCUGUAAUGUUGGAGCUAAGGAUGGUGACUGGGUAUUUCUUUUAAAACAGAUACCAGGAAAUGCUCCACAGCUGAUUAUAUAUAAUCAGCAUUCAUUCACCUCUCCUAGAUAUGGACCAGGGAUAUCUACUGACCGUUAUACUGCCACCAUUAAUGCCGCAGCCACUGAGUAUUAUUUUAUUAUUAAGAAGGUAGAGACAGCAGACACUGCUCAUUAUUACUGUGUGAAAUGGUUUGGCAGCAUAUCAGCAUGCCACAGUGAUAAAGAGUUUGACAAGAACUGGCCACAAAAAACAUGUUAACUGAAUACGGAACUGUUUAAUGUCA